rnacentral:rRNA from 1 species
GGAGGGGGCCAGCGUUGUUCGGAAUCAUUGGGCGUAAAGGGCGCGUAGGCGGCUGCGCAAGUCGAAAGUGAAAUCCCUCGGCUCAACCGAGGAACUGCUUUCGAUACUGCGUGGCUUGAGUCCCGGAGAGGGUGGCGGAAUUCCCAGUGUAGCGGUGAAAUGCGUAGAUACUGGGAGGAACACCGGUGGCGAAGGCGGCUACCUGGACGGGUACUGACGCUGAUGCGCGAAAGCUAGGGGAGCAAACAGGAUUAGAUACCCUGGUAGUCCUAGCUGUAAACGAUGAGCACUUGGUGUUGCGGGUAUCGACCCCCCCUGCAGUGCCGAAGCUAACGCAUUAAGUGCUCCGCCUGGGAGUACGGUCGCAAGGCUG